GACGAACGCUGGCGGCGUGCUUAACACAUGCAAGUCGAACGGAAAGGCCCUGCUUGCAGGGUACUCGAGUGGCGAACGGGUGGGUAACACGUGGGUGAUCUGCCCUGCUCUUCGGGAUAAGCCUGGGAAACUGGGUCUAAUACCGGAUAGGUGACAUUUUUAGUGUGAUGGUUGGAAAGUUUUUUCGGUGUAGGAUGAGCUCGCGGCCUAUCGGCUUGUUGGUGGGGUAAUGGCCUACCAAGGCGGCGGCGGGUAGCCGGCCUGUGAGGGUGGACGGCCACAUUGGGACUGAGAUACGGCCCAGACUCCUACGGGAGGCAGCAGUGGGGAAUAUUGCACAAUGAGCGCAAGCCUGAUGCAGCGGCGCCGCGUGGGGGAUGACGGCCUUCGGAUUGUAAACUCCUUGCGCUAGGAACGAGGCUUUUUGUGACGGUACCUAGAUAAGAAGCACCGGCUAACUACGUG
rnacentral:rRNA from 1 species